GAAAACCAGCAUCAAAUUGUCGUUUGACUUCUUCACGAAUCUUCAGAGCCAUAUCUGGUCUCGUUCUUCAGAGUUUCUGUUUUACUGGCGGGCAUUCUGGCUGAAGCGGAAGCUUGUUCUCAACGAUGUCGGUGUCUAGACCUGGCAUAUCCUGGUAUGCCCAUGCAAAUACGUCCACAUAUUCUUGUAGCAGCUUAACCAAUCUAUCUUUGACGCUUACUUCAAGUGUGGUGCCGAUUUUAACUUCUUUCUUC
rnacentral:lncRNA from 1 species